rnacentral:snoRNA from 1 species
GUGAAAACCAGAUCACUAGCUCUGCCUGAUGUGGUAGAAGUUAAGGAAGGGAACCAGGUUUGCUAAAGUAAUUGUGGUGACAGGAAAAUAUUAGCCUCAGAAGUUACUGAGUUACAUUCUAUCUUAGUACAGUG